rnacentral:rRNA from 1 species
UACAGAGGGUGCGAGCGUUAAUCGGAAUUACUGGGCGUAAAGGGCGCGUAGGCGGUUAUAUAAGUUAGGUGUGAAAUCCCUGGGCUUAACCUAGGAACUGCAGCUAAUACUGUGUAACUGGAGUGUAGUAGAGGGUAGUGGAAUUUCCGGUGUAGCGGUGAAAUGCGUAGAUAUCGGAAGGAACACCUGUGGCGAAAGCGGCGCACUGGACCACAACUGACGCUGAGGCGCGAAAGCUAGGGGAGCAAACAGG